rnacentral:tRNA from 1 species
AUCUAAAUAGUUUAAUGGGAAAAUGUUGGUUUGUGGUGCCUACGAUAUAUUUAUAUAUUUUAGAUU